rnacentral:lncRNA from 1 species
UUUUUUUUUUUAGAUUAAUUUCAUUAAGAGUAAAUUAUAAAUAUAUUUCAAUAAAAUUCAACUUUCAUAUAUUAUUUCUACAAAAGUCCUGAUAUUUUCAAAUAUAUUUCUGCCAUUAAAAUCCGUUAGAAAAAAAUUAGUUAAUCAUGGAUAAAAUAUUUAACCAUAAUUAGUUAAUGAGGUGAAUUGAUCUUUUUACCCCUCUUCAAUUAAUAGUUGGGACUUUUGGAGGAACAUAUGUAAUGGCAAUAAGGUUAUUUCACUUAUAAAAUAAACAGUGUUUUAAAGGUAACAAACAUAUUUGAAAAUAUUAGGACUUUUAUAGAGGCAACGUAUAAAAGUUAAACUUUGUAGAAAUAUAUUUGUAAUUCUCUAUAUUUGUAAGAAUCGGUAUAAAAUUAAGCCUUUUUUAUAUUUUCUCUUUUUCUUUUUCUUUUUCUUUUUCUUUUUUAUUCCACAGUUGUGACAUGU